rnacentral:snRNA from 1 species
CCACUUACCUCGUGCUGGGCAGCUCGGUGGUCAGGACGGCCGGCGCCCCAAGCGGAUUGAACCAUUGCACUACGGUUCGUUAACGCUUGCCACUUUCCCAAAGUGGGGAAGCUGGGGCAUUUAAUUUUUGGUAGUGGGGCGUGGCGUCUUCGCCUGCCCCGC